GUUUAUAUAAUUUAUGAAGAAUAUCGCACUGAAGAUGCGAAAGAGGUGGAGUACAUCUAUAGACA
rnacentral:tRNA from 1 species